ACGCUCGACACCUACGGAGGCAGCAGUCGGGAAUAUUGCGCAAUGGAGGAAACUCUGACGCAGUGACGCCGCGUAUGGGAAGAAAGUUUUCGGAUUGUAAACCAUUUUAGACAGGGAAGAAAAAAGACAGUACCUGUAGAAUAAGCUCCGGCUAACUACGUGCCAGUAGCCGCGGUAAUCUGAGCGGGCUGGCAAGGC
rnacentral:rRNA from 1 species